rnacentral:rRNA from 1 species
CCUACGGGCGGCAGCAGUGGGGAAUAUUGCACAAUGGGGGAAACCCUGAUGCAGCGACGCCGCGUGAGUGAAGAAGGAAUUCGUUAUGUAAAGCUCUAUCAGCAGGGAAGAAAAUGACGGUACCUGAGUAAGAAGCCCCGGCUAACUACGGGCCAGCAGCCGCGGUAAUACGUAGGGGGCAAGCGUUAUCCGGAUUUACUGGGUGGAAAGGGAGCGGAGACGGCAGUGCAAGUCUGGAGUGAAAGGCGGGGGCUCAACCCCCGGACUGCUCUGGAAACUGUACGGCUGGAGUGCAGGAGAGGUAAGUGGAAUUCCUAGUGUAGCGGUGAAAUGCGUAGAUAUUAGGCGGAACACCAGUGGCGAAGGCGGCUUACUGGACUGUAACUGACGUUGAGGCUCGAAAGCGUGGGGAGCAAACAGGAUUAGAUACCCGAGUAGUC